rnacentral:lncRNA from 1 species
GCCUGAAACCAUAAACAUGAAUUGCUGUAGUAUCAGUUGAAAAAGAAAAUUGAAGUUGCAAGGUCCCUAUUGAAAUAAACUGCACAACUUUGUACGCUUGGAAACAGGCAAACAAAAUACCAAUAGAAAUUCAACAUUGCUCAAGGUGCUCGUGCCAUAUGACAUGCAUCAUCGAACCAUUUUGGACGUAGAAUGAAGUCAUACGGUUUCAUGCCUCAUUGCAAUAAAGCAUAUUUUCAGUAUCCUCAUCUUUGCUGCUAAUUUUGACCCUUUGAAUGGAUAGCCACAAUUUAUUUGUUUUAUUUCCUUUGUUUAGAUUAAUAAUAGAAGGUGAAAGACUAGACCAAUAAAUUUUGUAGUUUAAGAAGUAAGUUUCAGAAUGUUACAAACAACCAUCCAGGAGAAGAGGGUUACCCAAUAUAUACAAUUACGGUAGCGAACAAUCCCUUAUGCAUGAAGUGAACAUACCACUUAAAGACACAUGUCAAUGCAUAAAUAUUUUUGAAGUACAUAUUCCUGCAAGUCCAAAAUCUUCAACACCUCCACUACUAACAACUCAUGGGAGAUUAAAGAUAACAUUUGCCCAGUUAAAACUGGUAUUUUGCCAUCACAGGGGUAUUUGGAUGGUCUAAAUUUCAUUCAUAACAUGAGAUGCAGCCUGAUAAGUUAAAGAUAUUUGACCUGCUCAAAUGAAAUAGCUUGUUUCGCACUACAAUAUUGCUUUUUUAUCUGAUGACAGCUUUUGUUAAAGCUUAAUGAAACAAAAUGGACAAACAUUUUAUAGCUUACAAGGUAAUCGUGUAACAUAGGCAUGUCUUGCAAUUGAUAGUAUAGAGUAUUAAUAUGCAACUUUCCAAUCUUAUAUAUUUUCUGCUAUGAUCAUCAAAAAAUAAACUUUCUAGUUUUGGCUCAUUUUGUCAGCAAUCCUUUGAAGAUGAAAUUAAAAACCAUAGUGUUUUGUCAUUAGUCUAAGUCAAUCUGUGCUCCAAGAUCAUAAUUCAAUCAGUUAUAAAGCAAUGAGUGCUUGAUAAACCAAAUGUAAUGCAUAAGAGAGUUAAAGUCAUUAACAAAGUAUAAAUUGGACAAUAUGUGCUCUAGCUGCUCAUAAAAAAAAAAGAGUAUGAGCUAUGUAGAGAUUGCUGCCGUCAAAGAACAAGUCCUAGGAAUAUUAAGAGUUUAGCACGAUUAAUUAGAAUCAUUAUAAAAUCUUCUACUAAUGCAUUUUCAGAAAAAAUUAACGUACCACCAGAACACUUGGUGCCACCUAAUUACACAAGUGGAGCCAGGUAGGACCUCCCCUUAGAACACUUAGGACCAGACCAUCUACCUUACAAAGAUUGUGUGCUAGUAGGACAAUACUUGCAAAAUAAGUAGUAAAUUCUUGCCCACAAUUGGGACUCUCUGUAUGUCAGUAGUAAGCACUAAAACCAAUAACCAAGCUAUAUUCUUUAGCAGAAAAACCAAAACCCAAAUCAAUGUCCUCCAGCAUAUCAUCAGUACAUCUACCCAAAAACCUUCCAUCAAAAUGUAGAUGCAUCUUCACCUAUUUCACCAGAAAAUGUGUUUUUUUUUUUCAAACAAUCUCAUCCAGAAAGCACCACCAACAACUUCUUCCCAAGGAAAGUCCUCCACUCUUGCAGCUCGUCACCCAAGUGAAGAGGGCUUGAAAAAAUAAGAGAAAUGACUUGCCAC